CUUCGUGGACCUGUGAGGGCGAGAGCAGAUGGACGUGCGAGUCGAUCGCGCCCGCGGUCAAGAUCUUGCCCUCGCCGGCGAUGACAUCGGUGGCCGGCCCGAUGGGCAGCUCCGGAUGGACGCCGUCGGCGAUGUCGGGAUUGCCGGCCCGGCCGAGCGCCACGAUCCGGCCGUCCCGGAUGCCGACAUCGGCCUUCACGAUGCCCCACCAGUCCAGCACCAGCGCAUUGGUGACGACCGUGUCCAGGGCUCCGUCGGCGCGGGUCGUCAUGCCCUGGGCCAUCGACUCCCGGAU
rnacentral:sRNA from 1 species